UAAGAAACCAAACAUGGAACAGUGAGUCAGCUGAGAGAUUCGCAAGAGUAGGGAACUGCUACCAGCCCUAGCUGGAAGUGCAAAAGAAGGAGGUAAUGUUAUCUCAUCCCAGCAGCUGGGGUCACCUGGUAGACGUGGCAGCAUGGCAAAGCUGUCCAGAGCCAUGAAGAAAUAGCACCCCUAAAGAUGCAGCCUGAGGUGGAUACCCUGGCUUCUCCCUUGCUUCUAACCCACAAAUGACUCCCAUUGGCUGAAUUCAACUGUAGCCAACUGACACAGAAGCCUGGAAAACACAUCCUUCAGGAGUCGGCCACCCUGCAGCACAGAGGAGAGCAGAAGGCUGCGGAAUGGAUCAGAGCGCCAACAUGCCAAUAACCACCAUGGUGUUAUACACACUUUCCUGUACCUGCUUUUCUCAAUCACCAUUACCUUGGGAAAAUCCCAGCAAAUCAACAGGCCUCGUUCUAAGGUGGAAGUGGUCCCACUGGCUCCCCAGUAAUGGCUGGAGAAUGUGCCAUUGGAAGCAUGUUGCCAAGAAAUAAAGUCAUGUAUCCUGCUCAAAAUCAGUUCAGUUCCAACCAAUUAUAAUAUGUGGAUUUGAAGCUGAGACAAUGGUGUACAGGAAGGCCCAAGAAAUCCAGAUGUGACUGGCUGUCACCCAGAGUUUUUGACUAGAUAGACAGAAGAGAAGAUCCAGAAAACUUCUUUGGGCUUCUUUUCAGCAGACCCAGAGAUCUGGGCUGGGAACACGCACUCAUGCCAACCCCACCCUAGAACCAAAACCACUGGGAAGCUGAAGUGCACCCCUUGUGGGUCUCCUGGACAGGGAAACUAACCCAUCUGAGUUAACACCCCACUUUCUGUGAUAGAUUCUCUGCUUCUACAUGGCUGCAGAUGCCCUGAAAAUGGCUUGGCCAUUGGUAUAGGCACAUUCCAGUGUUUCUUCAAGUGUGGUUGUCUUGGUCCAUUUAAGUUGCUGCAACAGAAUACCAUAGACUGCGUGGCUUAUAAACAACAGAAAUUCAUUUCCCAUGGUUCUGAAGGCUGGGAAGUCCAAGAUUAGUCACAGCAGAUUCAGUGUCCAGUGAAGCCUUCCAGGUUCAGACAUAGCCAUCUUCUCACUGUGUUGUCACACGAUAGAAGGGGUGAGGGGGCUAUCUGGGGUCUCUUUUAUAAGGCCACUAAUCCCACCACUAGUCUAAUUAGACUAAUCUUGGGUCUCAUUGAUGAAGGCUCCACCCUCAUGACCUAAUCACUUCCCAAAGGCCUAGGUUUCAACAGAGGGAUUUUGGGGGGACAUAAACACUUAGUCUCUAGUAACGGUACUUGCUAUGGUUUGAAUGAUGGUUGUUCUCUCCAAAAUUCAUAUUGGAACUUAAUACCAUUGCAACAGUAUUAAGAGGUGUGGCUUUUGAGAAGCAAUUAAGUCAUGAGGGCUCCCGGCUCAUGAAUGAGAUUUGCACCCUUAUAAAAUAACUCAAUGGACUGGGCGCAAUGGCUCACACUUGUAAUUCCAGCACCUUGGGAAGCCGAGGCGGGUGGAUCACUUGAGGUCAGGAGUUUGUGACCAGCUGGCCAAGACGGUGAAACCCCAUCUCUACUAAAAAUACAAAAACAAAAACAAAAAAAAUAAAAAUAAAUAGUUGGGCGUGGUGGCUCAUGCCUGUAGUCCCAGCUAUUCAGGAGGCUGAGGCACGAGAAUUGCUUGAACCCAGGAGGCAGAGAUUGCAGUGAGCCGAGAUUGUGCCACUGCACUCCAGCCUGGGCAACAGAGUGAGACUCAGUCUCAAAACAAAACAAAAACUCAAAGUUAAACAGGGCCCUUCUCUUUUGCCCUUUUAUCCCUCCUACCAUGUGAGAAGCCAGCAUUUGUCCUUUCUGGGAUGCAGCAACAAGGCAUCCUCUUGGAAGCAGAGAGCAACCCUCACCAGACACCAAACCUACUGGCAUCUUGAUCUCAGACUUCCAAGUCUCCAGAACCAUGAAAAUAAAUAUUGAUUGUUUAUAAAUUGCCCAGUUCGUGGUAUUUUGUUAUAACAGCAAAAAAGGACUAAGACAGGACUUCAACCACCUGCAUCAAAAUCAACUGUGGAGUGUGUUUAAAAUGUACAUUAAAAAUGCAGCCCCACUUUAGACCUAAUAAAUAAGAAUCUCAUAAGGAUAGGGACCAAGUCUCUGACUUUUGUUAGGCACACUGAUUAAGGAAUCAUUGACAAGGUGAAAAGAAUGCAGACUUUUAAGCCAAUUGACCUACAUUCAAACCCUAGCCCUGCAACUUCUAGACUGUGUGGCCCUAGGAAAGUUAUUUAACCUCUUCUUCAUUUCUAAAGUGGAGAGUAAUAAAACUACCUAAUAGCAUUUGGGAUAAGAAUCAAUAUGGCCGGGCGUGGUGGCUUACGCCUCUAAUCCCAGUACUUUGGGAGGCCAAGGCGGGCGGAUCACGAGGUCAGGAGAUCGAGACCUUCCUGGCUAACACAGUGAAACCCUGUCUCUAUUAAAAAAUACAAAAAAUUUGCUGGGCGUGGUGGCGGGCCCCUGUAGUCCCAGCUACUCAGGAGGCUGAGGCAGGAGAAUGGCGUGAACUCGGGAGGCAGAGCUUGCAGUGAGCCGAGAUGGUGCCACUGCACUCCAGUCUGGGUGACAGAGUGAGACUCCGUCUCAAAAAAAAAAAAAAAAAAAAAAAAAAAAAAAAAAAAAGAAUCAAUAUGAUAAUGUGUUAAAAAAUACAAGCUCCGUGCAUUGUUUGUGCUUUCAUAGUAAGUGCUCAAUAAUAGUACGCUGCUAUUAUUUUCACAAUAAUUUUGUGGAAUUUAGUCAAAUGAUCCAAUGAACUGUGAGUCCUCAAACCUGCUGAAUCUUUCUGGAACCCUCCAGCUACGCCCUUGCUGCAGAUUGCAACAGCCAAAAACAAGAGAUAUGUGUUAUCCUGGAUCAUUGUUACUCUCCAGUGGAACCUCCCAGGCAGGCUCUUCCCAGCCCAGAGGACCUAACAGAACUAUACUCCCACCAGACCUCUGAGAAUGGCAGGCAGGCAGAGUGCUGCUAACCCAUCUGCUCUUUUUUAAACCUUCAGACACCAUGACUUCUAAAGACCCUGAUCUCAGCAGCACAGACAUCACCCAGAACCGGCCUUACCCAUCAUACCACUGCACUAGGCUGGCACCUACAAUGCAGCUGACAGGCACAGUGUGAUAAGUAAGCUAUUUUCUGAGUCUGCACAAGAAAUGUUUCAUAUUCCAGAGCUCAUACAAAUGGAAGAGUCUGCUAAACAGCAGUGUCAGAGAGUUAUGCAUAAGAGCAUUAUGCGUUUCACAAGGAAAUUAUUUUUAAAAGCUUUUCCACUGACAGUUUCUUCAAAGGGAGACAACUGUUCCCUUUGAAAGUUCCUAUUUUCUAACAUAGAUAAGCAGCUUAGGCCUGCUUAGGGGAUGACUAAGUGCUCCUUUACACUCUUAUUUCUACCCUGGAUUAUUUCAAACCCCAGGCCUCACAGGAAAUCAAGUCCCAAGCUUUGGGAUUAGGCAGGAGGUCUCUUGAUCCCCAAGUUCUGAGCUGUAAGAAAAAGACUCCAGUUUAAAGGGGAGAGGUUCCUCCAGUUAGGUAUUUUGGGGACUAACCUUCCUUAUUUCAUAAUCCCCUCAACAAUCACAGUCCUAAUUCAUCCAAGGACCUGCAAAUGUUAGGUCCUAUAAGAAGACAGCCCAUUGAGGAUCUUAAAGACAAGUGCAAACUCACUGAGAUGUCUCAGGAAUGGUUACACAAGGGACUUUAUCUGUGUUUUUUGUUUUUGUUUCUUAAUUUGGGUGAUGAGCACAUAAGUACCCAAUGUUUUAUCCUUUACAAAUUUUUAUACAUCUGAAAUAUUUUCGUAGGAUAAUCUUUCCUGAUAUGCAAUGAAUAUGCCUGGAAGACAUCUUCUGGACAGUCCCUAACCAAUCUGUGUACCAUCCAGCCUCUGACAUGGAUUCUUUCAGCUCCUUCCCCUUGGUCAUCCUAGCACGUGGUUGCUAUGACCCUCUAGCGGACAACAUCAUUUAAGAGCAGGGACCUUUGAAUUUCCAGCACAUUGCGUAAGGCUGAACACCUGAUAAGGCUAUAAGUUGACAAUUUUGCUCAUUAAAUUGUGGCCUUUCCCCCUCUAAGAACCUCGCUUUUAGAACUACAACUAUUUCCCUCUCUUUCCCCAAAUGAACCUACUGUAUGACGGCCAAGGCCAUUUCAGUGAACACACAGUUGUAUAACAGUGUGUUGGGAUCUCAAAAUUGAUAAUAUAGUUCAUAUAAGUUAUAUGCAUAUGCACUUAUAUUUCAUUAAAUCAGCUUGAUGUGAGUUUAAAGCAUAACUAGUUUCCCAAAACUCAUGCUGUUCUCAUACCAGUUAUCUCUCUGGUUCUUCCUUUAGCCUAGACCCUUGGGUUAUUUUCUUUCUUUCAUGGUCAUCUUGAGGUAGAAGGUGGAACUCAACUCAGGAGGUGACACUCAACUUCAGAGGCAGGACUUGGACACUGGAGCAAAGUGAGGACUAGCUAAAACAGGGACAGGGCAGAAGUAGCUUUCCAUAAGACAUGCCCACCAGUGUGCCAUGGCAAUUUACCAUUUCCAUGACAACACCCAGAAGUUGCCAUCCCUUUCCAUGGCAAUGACCCAACAACCUGGAAGUUAGCACCCUUUCUGGAAAUUUCUGCAUCUGCCCCUUAAUUUGCAUAUAAUUAAAAGUGAGUAUAAAUAUGACUGCAAAACUGCCUUUUAGCUGCUACUCUGGGAGCACUGCCUACGGGGUAGCCCUGCUCCAUAAGGAGCAGUACCUCUGCCGAUGCUGUACACUGCCACUUCAAUAAAAGUUGCCAACACCACCAGCUCGCCCUUGAAUUCUUUCCUGGGUGAAGCCAAGAACACUCCCGGGCUAAGCUCCAAUUUUGGGGCUCGCCUGCUCUGCAUCAAUCUUACUUCCAUCUUCCAUGUGAAGAUGUACUCAGAGAAAUGUUCUGACUUUCUCCUGUUCGUGGUUUAUUACACUCUCCUGGCUUCCCUGAGCAGCCAGUCUCCACCAGCAAUUCUCGAAUUCCUCUUGGCCCUCCUUUUCUCUCCUCCUCUCUUCCCAGCCCCAGCACCCUUGGGAAGCCCAGAUCCCUCACAGCUUUGUUCACCAGUGUCACCUUCCAGGCCUCCCCACUCCACACCCUUCCUACUCCUGUGUCUUCCCUCAUCCAGAACC
rnacentral:lncRNA from 1 species